rnacentral:rRNA from 1 species
CGGCAACAGCUCAAAUUUGAAAUCUGGCGUCUUCGGCGUCCGAGUUGUAAUUUGCAGAGGGCGCUUUGGCAUUGGCAGCGGUCCAAGUUCCUUGGAACAGGACGUCACAGAGGGUGAGAAUCCCGUACGUGGUCGCUAGCCUUUACCGUGUAAAGCCCCUUCGAC